CGUGUAGGCGGUUGGGUACGUCAGAUGUGAAAGCCUUCUGCUUAACAGAAGAAGUGCAUUUGAAACUGCUCGGCUAGAGUACGGGAGAGGAGAGUGGAAUUCCCGGUGUAGAGGUGAAAUUCGUAGAUAUCGGGAGGAACACCAGUGGCGAAGGCGGCUCUCUGGUCCGAUACUGACGCUGAGACGCGAAAGCGUGGGGAGCAAACAGGAUUAGAUACCCUGGUAGUCCACGCCGUAAACGAUGGGCACUAGGUGUAGGAGGUAUUGACCCCUUCUGUGCCGAAGCUAACGCAUUAAGUGCCCCGCCUGGGGAGUACGGCCGCAAGGCUAAA
rnacentral:rRNA from 1 species